UGCCAGCCGCCGCGGUAAUACGGAGAUGGCAACCGUUGUUCGGAAUCACUGGGCUUAAAGGGCACGUAGGCGGGUAAAUUAGUUGGCUGUGAAAUCCCAUGGCUUACCCAUGGAACUGCAGCCAAAACUGUUUACCUUGAGGCAGGUAGAGGCGAGUGGAACGUGUGGUGGAGCGGUGAAAUGCGUAGAUAUCACACGGAACGUCGGUGGUGAAAACGACUCGCUGGGCCUGACCUGACGCUGAGACGCGAAAGCGUGGGGAGCAAACCGGAUUAGAUA
rnacentral:rRNA from 1 species